GUUACAGCAUCACUUUCAAAUGUUCUCUGCAAUAGCAUAUAAAAAAAAAUCUGUAAUAUUUUGUCCCUGAUUUUUUUUUAUAUAUUUUUUUUGUGCCAGUCUCAGCCUGUCAGUCACCUUGCAUGUUCACACAUGCUGACAUUGGCUCACAUGUCUUUAGAGGGCAGGGCUUAAGUGUGGUUGAAGUUAGUGGAAGUUAGCAAAACAGGUGACAUUUUGAAAUUAAAUGAUGGUGUCCUUGUCUCCUGUGAUCACAUCAACUUGUUGUCCUGGAUUAAGAUGGAUUUAAUAUUUUAGUCUGCAUGUUGAUGAGCUUCUUGUUCAGUUGUUUUUUUUUUUUUCUUUCUUCAUUUUUGCAUUAUGAAAUUUGUGCUUUUUUGCAACACUGUUCAUACUCAUUUGCAACAUUUUGAAUGACUUCUCAGUUCAGCCCCACACAUGACAUGCAGGAAAAAAAUAGUAGGCUAAAUCGUGUGCACAAUUUACUAUUUUGUUCCCUCAAUUUAUAAAUUGUGCACACGAUUUAGCAAAUCGAGGGAACGAAAUAGUAAUCGUGUGCACGUUUUAGUAAAUCGUGUGCACAAUUUAUUAUUUUUUUUCUUGCAUGUCAUGUGCGGGGCUCCGUACACAACAAUUGAUUUAUAUUGUUAACAUUUUCAAAAACUCAAGUUUCACUGCUGUUCUUCAAUAUGUUUGUAUUUCAGGAGUUUUUGGACAAUGGAAUGUGAUUUAUGAAACUCAAUCAAUAUGUGCUCUUAAAGGAUCCACAGUAAACAUGUCAUGCUCGUAUACGUACCCUCAGCAGUAUAAAUUGAUUGAUACAUUCUGGAUAAAGAGAUCGGAUAUGAAAAGUUUAAAAGAAUAUCCCGAGUAUAAACACAGGGUUGAAUACAUUGAACACAGACAAAACCAAACUGCUGUCCUCAGACUGCACAACAUCACUGAAAAUUAUGAGAGCGAGUAUUGUUUCAGAUUAAUAACUAAUACUGAAGGACAAAAAUGGUAUGGCAAACCAGGAAUUCAGCUUAAAAUUUCUGCUCUUCAGGUAAAGGCACCGCAGCUGGUGCUGGAGAAAGAAAGAGUCAAUCUGACCUGUGAAACCACAUGCAGUCUGACAGACGGAUUCAUCUGGUACAAAAAUGGACAGGCUUUAAAGAUCCAGAGCGAAACACUCCAGCUUCAGUCAGAGCGCAGUGAUUCUGGCCGUUACAGCUGCGCCGUCAGAGGACAUCAACACCUGCCCUCUCCUGCUGUCAACAUCACUGUCAUGUAUCCCCCUCAAAAUGUGUCAGUGUCCAUCAGUGCGUCUGGUGAAAUAUUGGAGGGAGAUUCAGUGACUCUGAGCUGCAGCAGUGACUCAAACCCUCCUGCUCUGAUCUUCAGCUGGUUUAAGGAGAAUCAAACCUCAGCUGUUGGAUCUGGACAGAGUUUCAUCAUCUCCAGCUUUAACUCCAGUCACAGUGGACGCUACUAUUGUGAGGCUCAGAAUCAAUAUGGAUCUCAGAGAUCAGCAUCUGUUUCAGUCUCUGUUAAAGGUGAUUGGAAUAUCUUGUAUAUGAUUGCUGUCUGUGUCACUGCUGCAAUUGCAGCUGGAUUUGUGCUCUUGUUUCUCAUCAUCAUUGUGCACAAAAGGACUAAGAAAAUAAAUAAUGACUCUAAGGACACUCAGCAAAAAAAGGUGGACGUCUGCAGGAAAGGCCUCUGAAUCCGGAGAUGCUGAAAAUGCUUCUGUCCAAGAUGACAGAGAUACAGACACAAAGAAACCUGAAGAGGAGGAGAUUGAGUACGCCAGCAUUACAAUUCACCAUCCAGCUACAGAAGCCAAAUCUGCUGCAAGCCAAGAGACGGAUUUAUCUGUGAUUUACAGCAGCAUCAGAUGAUCCAGACUAAUCUCCAGACCAUAAACAUACUUUUUCUUUUACUUUUUUGUUUAAUUUAAUCAUGUUUUUGAGUGUGCAUUGUUUAUUAAGCAUCCGCAGAUCCAAUUCAAUUCAAAAUUCUGUUUCUCUCUCUCUCUCUCUCUCCAUAUCUAGACAUUUAAAGGAUUUGCUGUUUUGUUUCUCAUUCAAGUCACAGCAUAAAUGUAAUUUUGCAAAGUAGAUACAUAGGCUUUUACUUAAAUCAAGACCAGACAGGGACAUGAACACCUGUGCGACAUGUUGAUCAAAGUGAGAGUCGUCACAUCUGCUCAGCUGGGGGCAAAACUCACCUUCA